rnacentral:lncRNA from 1 species
UCUCUAUAGAUCUUCAUCCCAAAGAUGUAGGAUACUUCUUCGAAAUCUUUCCUGAAAAAUUAUGAUGACAGUCAAAUCUUUAUUCUCUGUAAUGCAGAGAUGUCCUUCUCGAUUAAGAGAAUGUCAUUCACAUAUAAAAUAAGAAAUACAACUAUAAAAUUAUUUUUUCACUUAUAAAUACAAGAUUUUUCUCCAUUCCUAAUGAAACCAUACAUUCU